UACGUAGGGUGCAAGCGUUAAUCGGAAUUACUGGGCGUAAAGCGUGCGCAGGCGGCUUUGCAAGACAGAUGUGAAAUCCCCGGGCUCAACCUGGGAACUGCAUUUGUGACUGCAAGGCUAGAGUACGGUAGAGGGGGAUGGAAUUCCGCGUGUAGCAGUGAAAUGCGUAGAUAUGCGGAGGAACACCGAUGGCGAAGGCAAUCCCCUGGACCUGUACUGACGCUCAUGCACGAAAACGUGGGGGAGCAAACAGG
rnacentral:rRNA from 1 species